GAUGAACGCUGGCGGCGUGCCUAAUACAUGCAAGUCGAGCGAACAGACGAGGAGCUUGCUCCUUUGACGUUAGCGGCGGACGGGUGAGUAACACGUAGGUAACCUACCUAUAAGACUGGGAUAACUUCGGGAAAUCGGAGCUAAUACCGGAUAAUAUUUCGAACCGCAUGGUUCGAUAGUGAAAGAUGGCUUUGCUAUCACUUAUAGAUGGACCUGCGCCGUAUUAGCUAGUUGGUAAGGUAACGGCUUACCAAGGCAACGAUACGUAGCCGACCUGAGAGGGUGAUCGGCCACACUGGAACUGAGACACGGUCCAGACUCCUACGGGAGGCAGCAGUAGGGAAUCUUCCGCAAUGGGCGAAAGCCUGACGGAGCAACGCCGCGUGAGUGAUGAAGGUCUUCGGAUCGUAAAACUCUGUUAUUAGGGAAGAACAAACGUGUAAGUAACUGUGCACGUCUUGACGGUACCUAAUCAGAAAGCCACGGCUAACUACGUG
rnacentral:rRNA from 1 species